UACAGAGGUCUCAAGCGUUGUUCGGAUUCAUUGGGCGUAAAGGGUGCGUAGGUGGCGCCGUAAGUCAGGUGUGAAAUCUCGGAGCUCAACUCCGAAACUGCACUUGAUACUGCGGUGCUCGAGUACUGGAGAGGAGAUUGGAAUUUACGGUGUAGCAGUGAAAUGCGUAGAUAUCGUAAGGAAGACCAGUGGCGAAGGCGAAUCUCUGGACAGUUACUGACACUGAGGCACGAAGGCCAGGGGAGCAAACCGGG
rnacentral:rRNA from 1 species